AACGUAGGAGACAAACGUUAUCCGGAGUUACUGGGCGUAAAGGGCGUGUAGGCGGUUUGUUAAGUCUGGCGUGAAAGCUCUCGGCUAAACCGGGAGAGGUCGUUGGAUACUGGCAAACUAGAGGACGGUAGAGGCGUGUGGAAUUCCGGGUGUAGUGGUGAAAUGCGUAGAGAUCAGGAGGAACACCGGUGGCGAAGGCGGUUCUCUGGGCAUUACCUGACGCUGAGGAGCGAAAGUGUGGGGAGCGAACAGG
rnacentral:rRNA from 1 species